GUGUCAGCAGCCGCGGUAAUACGAAGGGGGCUAGCGUUGUUCGGAAUUACUGGGCGUAAAGCGCGCGUAGGCGGUUUUGCAAGCCAGAGGUGAAAUGCCUGAGCUCAACUUAGGAAUUGCCUUUGGGACUGCGAGGCUUUGAGGACUGGAGAGGUGAGUGGAAUUCCCAGUGUAGAGGUGAAAUUCGUAGAUAUUGGGAAGAACACCAGUGGCGAAGGCGGCUCACUGGCCAGUUUCUGACGCUGCAGCGCGAAAGCGUGGGGAUCAAACAGGAUUAGAUACCCUGGUAGUCCACGCUGUAAACGAUGAGUGCUAGGCGUCGGCACGCUUGCGUGUCGGUGCCGCAGCUAACGCGUGAAGCACUCCGCCUGGGGAGUACGGUCGCAAGAUUAAA
rnacentral:rRNA from 1 species